rnacentral:rRNA from 1 species
UACGUAGGGUGCGAGCGUUAAUCGGAAUUACUGGGCGUAAAGCGUGCGCAGGCGGUUUUGUAAGCCAGAUGUGAAAUCCCCGGGCUCAACCUGGGAACUGCAUUUGUGACUGCAUCGCUGGAGUGCGGCAGAGGGGGAUGGAAUUCCGCGUGUAGCAGUGAAAUGCGUAGAGAUGCGGAGGAACACCGGUGGCGAAGGCGGCCAACUGGACGAAUACUGACGCUGAGACUCGAAAGCGUGGGGAGCAAACAGG